rfam:Equus caballus chromosome 3, whole genome shotgun sequence.
UUUUCAGAAUAAGUGUGUCUCAUGAACUAUUUGUGACAUACUUAUUCUAAAA